CAGCCGCCGCGGUAAUACGGAGGGUGCAAGCGUUAUCCGGAUUCACUGGGUUUAAAGGGUGCGUAGGCGGGUAUGUAAGUCAGUGGUGAAAUCUCGGAGCUUAACUCCGAAACUGCCAUUGAUACUAUAUAUCUUGAAUAUUGUGGAGGUUUGCGGAAUAUGUCAUGUAGCGGUGAAAUGCUUAGAUAUGACAUAGAACACCUAUUGCGAAGGCAGCAGGCUACACAUAUAUUGACGCUGAGGCACGAAAGCGUGGGGAUCAAACAGGAUUAGAUACCCUGGUAGUCCACGCCCUAAACGAUGGAUACUCGACAUACGCGAUACACUGUGUGUGUCUGAGCGAAAGCAUUAAGUAUCCCACCUGGGAAGUACGACCGCAAGGUUGAAACUUAAAGGAAUUGGCGG
rnacentral:rRNA from 1 species